UACGUAGGGGGCAAGCGUUGUCCGGAUUUAUUGGGCGUAAAGAGCGUGUAGGCGGCUAGGCAGGUCCGCUGUGAAAACUCGAGGCUCAACCUCGAGACGUCGGUGGAAACCUUCUAGCUAGAGUCCGGAAGAGGAGAGUGGAAUUCCCGGUGUAGCGGUGAAAUGCGCAGAUAUCGGGAAGAACACCCGUGGCGAAGGCGGCUCUCUGGGACGGUACUGACGCUGAGACGCGAAAGCGUGGGGAGCGAACAGG
rnacentral:rRNA from 1 species